CGGUCCAGACUCCUACGGGAGGCAGCAGUGGGGAAUAUUGCACAAUGGGCGCAAGCCUGAUGCAGCGACGCCGCGUGAGGGAUGACGGCCUUCGGGUUGUAAACCUCUUUCAGUAGGGAAGAAGCCCUUCGGGGUGACGGUACCUGCAGAAGAAGCGCCGGCUAACUACGUGCCAGCAGCCGCGGUAA
rnacentral:rRNA from 1 species